CUGAGUUGCAGGACCUAGCACGGAUGGAUUCAAACCUGGGACCACUUGCCUCGAAGUCCGACGCGGGCGCCACUACACCGGCGGUCGGCAGCAAUGCGAAUCUGGAGAAGAUGAUGGAUUGCUAUUGUUCUUGAGUAAUGGUGAGAAACUCUUUGCAAAGAAGAAAGAAAGCUGGGAGUGAUGGAGAUGGAGAUAAAGUCGGGAAGAAAAUGAAAUGGAAAUCAAAAUAACCCUGAUGCUGUUUGUCCUGCCCAGUUCCUCCAGUAGAUUGUUCCUCGCUCCAGAUCCCAUCUUCAAUCUGUUGUGUGUCCAUUAGUUGGCGGAUAUUGGUCUUGGCAUCACCCACUGUGGAAUUCCUCUGCAUUAUCUUCACCAGAGCGACCACAGCAGUUUAGGAAGACAGAAUAAUAGCAACUGCUGAACAGGGAUAGACAU